rnacentral:rRNA from 1 species
CCUACGGGUGGCAGCAGUGAGGAAUAUUGGUCAAUGGGCGGGAGCCUGAACCAGCCAAGCCGCGUGAGGGAAGAAGGUACAACGUAUCGUAAACCUCUUUUGUCAGGGAACAAAGGCGGGGACUAGUCCCCGGAUGAGGGUACCUGAAGAAAAAGCAUCGGCUAACUCCGUGCCAGCAGCCGCGGUAAUACGGAGGAUGCGAGCGUUAUCGGGAUUUAUUGGGUUUAACGGGUGCGCAGGCGGCCUGGUAAGUCAGCGGUAAAGGCCUGGGGCUAAACCCCGGAUAGCCGUUGAAACUGGGCGGCUGGAGUUGGAGAGAGGUAGGCGGAAUGCGUGGUGUAGCGGUGAAAUGCUUAGAGA